rnacentral:misc_RNA from 1 species
UGUCAUCUGUGGUGGUUGAAGUGGUGGUCAGCGAAAACAGUAGAGAUGGAUCUGGUAACUCCACCAGGCAUGGGCGACAUCAAUAAUGGCCUACUGGACACCUCUCCAUACCCAGCUAAGCAUCAAAGACAAUCAAGCUUAAACACCCAUGUCCCUAGCUACAUGGCCCCAACCCAAUCUGCUAAGGCCAAGCUACGUAGUCAGGGCACAGGCAGGCAGCGUGGGCCUAAUGUGCCCCAAUGGAACUCAUCCACAAGGAAAGGUUCAAUUGUUGGUUCAGGUUUUGAUUCCUCAAGUUCAGGAGGAGGAACAGGUGUUUACCUGGCUCCAAGGAGCCCAAGCCCGAAGAAUAACGGGAUGCGCCACCAGGCUAGACGGAUUGCAGGAUAUAGCCCAGAUUCCAACAGUAUUGGCGAGGAUUGGAGGUUGGCUCCCAUUGAUGGUCAUGAUUGGAGACAUGAUUUUAGUUGCUGAGAGGUAUAUGGAGCUUUUUCUUGUAUAUUUAUACAUGAGUUAUUAUUGAUUGAUGUUUGCAAUUUGUGAUGUUAUGAUUUACCAGUCUCAGAGUCUUGGUAACUAAAUUUGUUUGGGGUCAAGAAUUCAUAUGCGCUAUGUUCAUUUUGAUUAUUAUGCUCAUAUAUUGGCAUUCCUAUUAAUUAAUCAACCAUUCAACUUAAAAGGUCAUUACUCUAUUGUAACAAUUAAUUCAUACUUUUAUUUGAG